UACGUAGGGUGCGAGCGUUAAUCGGAAUUACUGGGCGUAAAGCGUGCGCAGGCGGUCUGUUAAGACAGAUGUGAAAUCCCCGGGCUUAACCUGGGAACUGCAUUUGUGACUGGCAGGCUAGAGUAUGGCAGAGGGGGGUAGAAUUCCACGUGUAGCAGUGAAAUGCGUAGAGAUGUGGAGGAAUACCGAUGGCGAAGGCAAUCCCCUGGGCCUGCACUGACGCUCAUGCACGAAAGCGUGGGGAGCAAACAGG
rnacentral:rRNA from 1 species